UAUUUCAAUUUCAGAAUCAAUUUUGAAAUAUUACUAUUAUAUGAAAGAGUAUUACUAAACAAAAGAUUAUGAUAGUAUAUUGUUUUUCGUCCUAAAUUCUUGGACCUUCCACUAAGUGCGAAUCUAAGAAAGUAAUUUGAACAUUAAACUUGAAGAUCUAGGAUCUCAAUAAAGCACAUUUUCAUCACCAACGCCUAAUCCAUGAUUGUUGAACAAUUCAAUGCAUGAAAGAGAAUAGUCAUCAUUGUACAACUUCUUUAAGCAAACAUUUCCACCUUCAUACUUUUUAGGGGCAUUCUCCUCAGUUACAUCCCACAUGUCAACACUUACCCCACACCCGUUCUCCAAACUUUUAGCCACAUCUAACUUUUAAUAUCGAAGAAUAUACUCAAAUGUAUCAAAAAAUGGAAUCACCAACAUUCCAAGAACGACCUCAUCAUGGGUAAUCUUUUUUGAUUUUUUCUCUUAUCUCCACUAGUUCUUGAGUCACUACCCAUGGAGUGUUGUUAACUAUGUAGCUUCUAUUUUCUUUUCAAUGGCUUAUUGUUCUUUCUCCAAACCAAAAAUUGAGAUUUACUAAGUUGCAUCACCAGAUUUUCAUCCCAAAUUAACCCAAAGGGCUCCAAUUCUAUUGUCUAAUAUUUCAUUAGUAAUUUGGAAUCGAUGGUGGUGUUUGACAAAAUUACUCUUUUGGAUAGGAUCUCUUCUGUCAAUUAUGCUAUAAUUUGGUCAUAAAUUUCAGGACUGUUACAACCACAAUGAGUUCCUAUGCAGCUUGGAAAAAUUCAUAAGGUCCUCGAACAAACCUUCGAGAUUCUUUCAGUCCUACAAUUACAAAUCCAACCAGAAAUGACAUUUUGGAUUCAACAGAUUUCAAAAAAUAACUAACAGAGAUUGGUCUCAAGGGCGCUGAAGAAGAAGAAUCUACUACUAGAGGUGGUAUUUGUUAGGAUUUCAAAAUUUUAGAGAAAAAAAAGAUAAGGUUCAGCAAAGGAAAUUUUCAUUCAUGUUCAGCUUUUAAAAAACAUACACACAUAUAUCUACAUAAGCUUUUCCAAAGUUAGUAGAGGACCAUACAUAUCCA
rnacentral:lncRNA from 1 species